UAGCGAUGAAAUGUGUAGAGAUGUGGAGGAACACCAGUGGCGACGGCGACUCUGGUCUGUAACUGACGUGGAGGAGAGAAAGCGUGGGGAGAGAACAGGAUUAGAUACCGUGGUAGUCCACGCUGUAAACGAUGAGUGCUAAGUGUUAGGGGGUUUCCGCCCUUUAGUGCUGCAGAUAACGCAUUAAGCACUCCGCCUGGGGAGUACGGUCGCAAGACUGAAACUCAAAGGAAUUGACGGGGGCCCGCACAAGCGGUGGAGCAUGUGGUUUAAUUAGAAGCAACGAGAAGAACCUUACCAGGUCUUGACAUCCUCUGACAACCCUAGAGAUAGGGCUUUCCCUUCGGGGACAGAGUGACAGGUGGUGCAUGGUUGUCGUCAGCUCGUGUCGUGAGAUGUUGGGUUAAGUCCCGCAACGAGCGCAACCCUUGAUCUUAGUUGCCAGCAUUCAGUUGGGCACUCUAAGGUGACUGCCGGUGACAAACCGGAGGAAGGUGGGGAUGACGUCAAAUCAUCAUGCCCCUUAUGACCUGGGCUACACACGUGCUACAAUGGACAGAACAAAGGGCUGCGAGACCGCAAGGUUUAGCCAAUCCCACAAAUCUGUUCUCAGUUCGGAUCGCAGUCUGCAACUCGACUGCGUGAAGCUGGAAUCGCUAGUAAUCGCGGAUCAGCAUGCCGCGGUGAAUACGUUCCCGGGCCUUGUACACACCGCCCGUCACACCACGAGAGUUUGCAACACCCGAAGUCGGUGAGGUAACCUUUAUGGAGCCAGCCGCCGAAGGUGGGGCAGA
rnacentral:rRNA from 1 species